rnacentral:rRNA from 1 species
GAGCUUGCUCCCGGAUGUUAGCGGCGGACGGGUGAGUAACACGUGGGUAACCUGCCUGUAAGACUGGGAUAACUCCGGGAAACCGGAGCUAAUACCGGAUAGUUCCUUGAACCGCAUGGUUCAAGGAUGAAAGACGGUUUCGGCUGUCACUUACAGAUGGACCCGCGGCGCAUUAGCUAGUUGGUGGGGUAAUGGCUCACCAAGGCGACGAUGCGUAGCCGACCUGAGAGGGUGAUCGGCCACACUGGGACUGAGACACGGCCCAGACUCCUACGGGAGGCAGCAGUAGGGAAUCUUCCGCAAUGGACGAAAGUCUGACGGAGCAACGCCGCGUGAGUGAUGAAGGUUUUCGGAUCGUAAAGCUCUGUUGUUAGGGAAGAACAAGUGCGAGAGUAACUGCUCGCACCUUGACGGUACCUAACCAGAAAGCCACGGCUAACUACGUGCCAGCAGCCGCGGUAAUACGUAGGUGGCAAGCGUUGUCCGGAAUUAUUGGGCGUAAAGGGCUCGCAGGCGGUUUCUUAAGUCUGAUGUGAAAGCCCCCGGCUCAACCGGGGAGGGUCAUUGGAAACUGGGAAACUUGAGUGCAGAAGAGGAGAGUGGAAUUCCACGUGUAGCGGUGAAAUGCGUAGAGAUGUGGAGGAACACCAGUGGCGAAGGCGACUCUCUGGUCUGUAACUGACGCUGAGGAGCGAAAGCGUGGGGAGCGAACAGGAUUAGAUACCCUGGUAGUCCACGCCGUAAACGAUGAGUGCUAAGUGUUAGGGGGUUUCCGCCCCUUAGUGCUGCAGCUAACGCAUUAAGCACUCCGCCUGGGGAGUACGGUCGCAAGACUGAAACUCAAAGGAAUUGACGGGGGCCCGCACAAGCGGUGGAGCAUGUGGUUUAAUUGGAAGCAACGCGAAGAACCUUACCAGGUCUUGACAUCCUCUGACAACCCUAGAGAUAGGGCUUUCCCUUCGGGGACAGAGUGACAGGUGGUGCAUGGUUGUCGUCAGCUCGUGUCGUGAGAUGUUGGGUUAAGUCCCGCAACGAGCGCAACCCUUGAUCUUAGUUGCCAGCAUUCAGUUGGGCACUCUAAGGUGACUGCCGGUGACAAACCGGAGGAAGGUGGGGAUGACGUCAAAUCAUCAUGCCCCUUAUGACCUGGGCUACACACGUGCUACAAUGGACAGAACAAAGGGCUGCAAGACCGCAAGGUUUAGCCAAUCCCAUAAAUCUGUUCUCAGUUCGGAUCGCAGUCUGCAACUCGACUGCGUGAAGCUGGAAUCGCUAGUAAUCGCGGAUCAGCAUGCCGCGGUGAAUACGUUCCCGGGCCUUGUACACACCGCCCGUCACACCACGAGAGUUUGCAACACCCGAAGUCGGUGAGGUA